AGAUUUACUCAACUUUCUCUGAGCUCUCCCGCCGCUUAAAAGCAAACAGCCCCGCUGUAGGCUCGUAAGGAAAUCUGGUUUCACAGUUUGAAGAAAGGAGAAGGUCAAAACAUAGUCGUCGGGAAAAUGGGAUGGUUGCCAAAACGUCAGUCUGUGAUGGGUGCCAUAUUGCAUUAUUCUUUGAGUGGUGGAAUACAGCUUGGGAUUCUUCAGGGGUGGUUAACGUGGUACAAACUGUACUGUACAGCUGCUGAACGUCUUAACCAUUUGGAUUCAUACAUAACUUAAUGGGCUCCUGGAAGAAGUGGAAGAGCCUCUUGCCGAAACUUGAGGAUAUUGUGGAAAACGCUGCUGAGACCCUUUUGGAUUAUAUCGCCAUCUGACAUCAAGGUCCUGCAGCUGAUGAAAGGAGUUCACCAGAUCUUUUUGUUAUGUGGUUCCUGAAGCAUUAUCCUGGGACAGCAGUAAUGAUUGAUGAACACGCUUCAGGCUUGAGUCACAGAGCAGCGUGAGGAUUUACACUUCUGAAGUAGGAGUGUGAAUGAGAUUGAAGGAUUUAUAGGGAGGAUUCUGAACUCCCCUCCUUCCUGCUCCAGGAAAGACAGGGCCCUGCUCUGAGACCUGUGGGUAUGAUCCACAUGUGCUACUGAAGCUGAUUCGAAUGGUGUGACAAAUGAGGCGAUGAACAGACCUGUACACACAGCUUUUGCCACAGCAGCCUUUCCAGUCCUGUCCCUGCUCGAACAGGGUCCACUUGAGCAUCUCUGAACAGCCAUCCGGAGCAACCGGAAAGCCAG